rnacentral:rRNA from 1 species
GACGAACGCUGGCGGCGUGCCUAAUACAUGCAAGUCGAGCGAAUUUCAAGGGGCUUGCCCCUUGAGGUUAGCGGCGGACGGGUGAGUAACACGUGGGCAACCUGCCUGUAAGACUGGGAUAACACCGGGAAACCGGUGCUAAUACCGGAUAAUUCUUUCCCUCACAUGAGGGAAAGCUGAAAGUCGGUUUCGGCUGACACUUACAGAUGGGCCCGCGGCGCAUUAGCUAGUUGGUGAGGUAACGGCUCACCAAGGCGACGAUGCGUAGCCGACCUGAGAGGGUGAUCGGCCACAUUGGGACUGAGACACGGCCCAAACUCCUACGGGAGGCAGCAGUAGGGAAUCUUCCGCAAUGGACGAAAGUCUGACGGAGCAACGCCGCGUGAGUGAUGAAGGCCUUCGGGUCGUAAAACUCUGUUGUUAGGGAAGAACAAGUACCGGAGUCACUGCCGGUACCUUGACGGUACCUAACCAGAAAGCCACGGCUAACUACGUGCCAGCCGCCGCAGUAACAC